CUUACACAUGCAGUCGAACGAUGAAGCCCAGCUUGCUGGGUGGAUUAGUGGCGAACGGGUGAGUAACACGUGAGUAACCUGCCCUUGACUCUGGGAUAAGCCCGGGAAACUGGGUCUAAUACCGGAUAGGAACGUCCACCGCAUGGUGGUUGUUGGAAAGAUUUAUCGGUCAUGGAUGGACUCGCGGCCUAUCAGCUUGUUGGUGAGGUAAUGGCUCACCAAGGCGACGACGGGUAGCCGGCCUGAGAGGGUGACCGGCCACACUGGGACUGAGACACGGCCCAGACUCCUACGGGAGGCAGCAGUGGGGAAUAUUGCACAAUGGGCGAAAGCCUGAUGCAGCGACGCCGCGUGAGGGAUGACGGCCUUCGGGUUGUAAACCUCUUUCAGUAGGGAAGAAGCGAAAGUGACGGUACCUGCAGAAGAAGCACCGGCUAACUACGUGCCAGCAGCCGCGGUAAUACGUAGGGUGCGAGCGUUAUCCGGAAUUAUUGGGCGUAAAGAGCUCGUAGGCGGUUUGUCGCGUCUGUCGUGAAAGUCCGGGGCUUAACCCCGGAUCUGCGGUGGGUACGGGCAGACUAGAGUGCAGUAGGGGAGACUGGAAUUCCUGGUGUAGCGGUGGAAUGCGCAGAUAUCAGGAGGAACACCGAUGGCGAAGGCAGGUCUCUGGGCUGUAACUGACGCUGAGGAGCGAAAGCAUGGGGAGCGAACAGGAUUAGAUACCCUGGUAGUCCAUGCCGUAAACGUUGGGCACUAGGUGUGGGGACCAUUCCACGGUUUCCGCGCCGCAGCUAACGCAUUAAGUGCCCCGCCUGGGGAGUACGGCCGCAAGGCUAAAACUCAAAGGAAUUGACGGGGGCCCGCACAAGCGGCGGAGCAUGCGGAUUAAUUCGAUGCAACGCGAAGAACCUUACCAAGGCUUGACAUGUUCUCGAUCGCCGUAGAGAUACGGUUUCCCCUUUGGGGCGGGAUCACAGGUGGUGCAUGGUUGUCGUCAGCUCGUGUCGUGAGAUGUUGGGUUAAGUCCCGCAACGAGCGCAACCCUCGUUC
rnacentral:rRNA from 1 species